GUGUGUGGGUGGAGCACUGAACCCCACUGGCCAAUCCAUGGGCUUCUUACUGAAACCACAGACCAAUUGUUGAGCUUCUUAUUGAAGGCUGUGACAGCCAGUCCAGCUGUCCUGCUUCACAUUGAUAGAAAAGAUUGUUUGGACGCCUCAAGACAAAAAUAUAUUGAUACAUAUCAAAUGGUCAGAGGGCAGGCGGGCAGGCGGGUAGGGGAUUGACAUGAUGCUAUAAGGCAAGGACAGAGGGGUUACACAGCAGUAAGAGUUCAAGUCAUGAAAAAAAACAUGCAGACAGGCUUAACAUAUCAGAGGCCAUGUGAGGGACGGAGAGAUGGACAGGUUUAAACAUAUCAGAGGCCAUGUGAGGGACGGAGAGAUGGACAGGCUUAAACAUAUCAGAGGCCAUGUGAGGGACGGAGAGAUGGACAGGUUUAACAUAUCAGAGGCCAUGUGAGGGACGGAGAGAUGGACAGGUUUAAACAUAUCGAGGCACAUGUGAGGGACGGAGAGAUGGACAGGUUUAACAUAUCAGAGGCCAUGUGAGGGACGGAGAGAUGGACCAGGUUUAACAUAUCAGAGCCAUGUGAGGGACGGAGAGAUGGACAGGUUUAAACAUAUCAGAAGCCAUGUGAGG
rnacentral:lncRNA from 1 species